rnacentral:rRNA from 1 species
UCGGGAAUUUUGGGCAAUGGGCGAAAGCCUGACCCAGCAACGCCGCGUGAGGGACGAAGUAUUUCGGUAUGUAAACCUCGAAAGAAUGGGAAGAAUAAAUGACGGUACCAUUUAUAAGCUCCGGCUAACUACGUGCCAGCAGCCGCGGUAAUACGUAGGGAGCAAGCGUUGUUCGGAUUUACUGGGCGUAAAGGGCGCGUAGGCGGCGCGGUAAGCCACUUGUGAAAUCUCUGAGCUUAACUCAGAACGGCCAAGUGAUACUGCUGUGCUAGAGUGCGGAAGAGGCAACCGGAAUUCUUGGUGUAGCGGUGAAAUGCGUAGAUAUCAAGAGGAACACCUGAGGCGAAGGCGGGUUGCUGGGCCGACACUGACGCUGAUGCGCGAAAGCCAGGGGAGCAAACG